GGUUAAGCGACUAAGCGUACACGGUGGAUGCCCUGGCAGUCAGAGGCGAUGAAGGACGUGCUAAUCUGCGAUAAGCGUCGGUAAGGUGAUAUGAACCGUUAUAACCGGCGAUUUCCGAAUGGGGAAACCCAGUGUGUUUCGACACACUAUCAUUAACUGAAUCCAUAGGUUAAUGAGGCGAACCGGGGGAACUGAAACAUCUAAGUACCCCGAGGAAAAGAAAUCAACCGAGAUUCCCCCAGUAGCGGCGAGCGAACGGGGAGCAGCCCAGAGCCUGAAUCAGUGUGUGUAUUAGUGGAAGCGUCUGGAAAGGCGCGCGAUACAGGGUGACAGCCCCGUACACAAAAAUGCACAUGCUGUGAGCUCGAUGAGUAGGGCGGGACACGUGGUAUCCUGUCUGAAUAUGGGGGGACCAUCCUCCAAGGCUAAAUACUCCUGACUGACCGAUAGUGAACCAGUACCGUGAGGGAAAGGCGAAAAGAACCCCGGCGAGGGGAGUGAAAAAGAACCUGAAACCGUGUACGUACAAGCAGUGGGAGCCUCUUUAUGGGGUGACUGCGUACCUUUUGUAUAAUGGGUCAGCGACUUAUAUUCUGUAGCAAGGUUAACCGAAUAGGGGAGCCGAAGGGAAACCGAGUCUUAACUGGGCGUUAAGUUGCAGGGUAUAGACCCGAAACCCGGUGAUCUAGCCAUGGGCAGGUUGAAGGUUGGGUAACACUAACUGGAGGACCGAACCGACUAAUGUUGAAAAAUUAGCGGAUGACUUGUGGCUGGGGGUGAAAGGCCAAUCAAACCGGGAGAUAGCUGGUUCUCCCCGAAAGCUAUUUAGGUAGCGCCUCGUGAAUUCAUCUCCGGGGGUAGAGCACUGUUUCGGCAAGGGGGUCAUCCCGACUUACCAACCCGAUGCAAACUGCGAAUACCGGAGAAUGUUAUCACGGGAGACACACGGCGGGUGCUAACGUCCGUCGUGAAGAGGGAAACAACCCAGACCGCCAGCUAAGGUCCCAAAGUCAUGGUUAAGUGGGAAACGAUGUGGGAAGGCCCAGACAGCCAGGAUGUUGGCUUAGAAGCAGCCAUCAUUUAAAGAAAGCGUAAUAGCUCACUGGUCGAGUCGGCCUGCGCGGAAGAUGUAACGGGGCUAAACCAUGCACCGAAGCUGCGGCAGCGACGCUUAUGCGUUGUUGGGUA
rnacentral:rRNA from 1 species